ensembl:miRNA
CCCUGGAACUAGAGUGACAGAUGGUUGUGAGCUGCCAUGUGGAUGCUGGGAAUUGAACCUCAGUCCUCUGCAAGAGCAACAAGGGCUCUUCACUGUUGACCCAACUCUCCAGCCCUCA